rnacentral:lncRNA from 1 species
AUGCCCACAUUCAGCCGUCAAUCUUUAGUUAGCAUAUCAGUCACACAAGGUUCUAGGGUGGAUCAUAUGAGGUCUUUUUUGGCUUUGAAACUUCCACCAUCUGCAGAGGCAAGAGAACCCAAGUUCAAAGUCAGUCUGAUCUACAUAGCAAGUUCCCAGCCAGUGAAACAACAGCAACAAAACCAAAACUUCAUCACCUUAUUUGGUCUUAGCAUACCGGAAACCACUCUGAUCUCUGGCGGGUUCCCUGUUACUUUGAAGCAUUCUGUGCCUCUCGCAUGUCUUAACGUCUGGGUAGGAAGACCUCAGAAGAGAUCUGUGAGUUUGUGCUUGCUUGUGGUGGCUGUUUGCUGUGCGGUGAAAACAAGGCACCCCAGACUUCAGAAGCAAAAUGAAAUAAACUUCUUGGUUCAUGCGCAAACUGUGCAGAAUGGGCUUUGUGUGGGAGCCGGCAAAGGUGGAAGUGCCAUUCAAAAGUUGCCAGAGCCCAAGAAUAGACUUGCCUUGGUGAGGCUUCUGGACUGCCUCCAGUUCCUAGCAAGAGCCAUGCCCGGCCUUCCUGAAGUGCACCAUUGAGAAAACGCCUUGAGAAUAGGUUGACUGACACGGGGAGCAACAUGGAGAGAAUGGCUUUAAUGAGCCAAAAAAUGUGGUUUCAAAUGCCCGUCUCCCAGUGUCACUGCUGGCCUUUGCCAGCAGAGGCAAAGUCUUGUUCACUGGCGCAAACUCCGAGAAACACCGAGCAAGCCUGCACCAACUCCAAGCCAGUCGGCAGCAUUCACAUUCAAGUCUAGAACUUUCGCUCUUCGGGAGGACGGAUAUGUAUGAGCUGAUGGGGAGCUGUUUGGCCUUGAAUACGGGCUAGCGUGCAGAGGGAGCCCUCAGGUCCCCAGCAGGGAGAGGUUUUGGUGGGGCCUUGCCCUUAGCAGCUGGUAAGGGGAAGGGUAGGGCUAUUAUUAUUCAUAGGUGGAUUAUCCAGUUCAAACAUUCUCUGGCUUUGGGCCUGUCCUCCUGUUUAAAGAUUUCCUGACUGGUCGUGUUAAUGCUAGGCGAAGAGUAGAAAACAAGAACAAAAAAAAUGAAAACCAUCUUGCCUCAUGCUAGUCAUUUCUGAACACUAUCCAUGCAGGGUUAGAAAACAAGGCUUGGUUAAAGUCGGAAUCUGGAAUUUGCUGGAGGGCUUCCAUUCUGGGUUCUUUGAUCCCUGGCUGUAGCAUCUGUCUCUCUUGGGAAGGGGAAUCUCCAGUGGCUUCACUAGGGAAAACCAUAAAGAAAGGGAUGUUCUCCCUGUACCUUUAUUUAUUGAAUUUUAAUAAUAUUCUUGAUAUUUUCAAAGUUUCAUGUAUUUGUGCAAUGUACCUCCACCCUCCAGUACCUGCUCUAACUUCCUGUAGUACCGCCAUCCUGCCUUCAUCCCAACUGUAUGUCCUUUUUAUUUUUAUAUUUAUAUAAAAAGUAUAUAUGAAAUAAUAACUAUCAAAUAAUUAAACAAAACAAUAUUUAAUAUAUCAAACAUCUAUUAUAAAUCAUAUAAUAGAUAUUAAAUAUAUGCCAUAUAUUUACUAUAUAUCUGUAUUAUUAAAAUGAUAUAUAUUUUAUCAUAUUUAAAUUUCUAUCUUGUUAUCAAUAACUUCAACUCCAAUUAGUGCUGCCAGUUUGUGCAUGGGUGAGUAGCCACUUUUGGGUCAUGAGCAGCCUACAACUGGUUAUGCCACCAAAGGAGAAUGGGUCUUUGUGUCAUCCAUUGUCACUGGUUCCUUCCAUUAGGGUGGGGCAUUCCAUGUGCAUGCUGGAAUUUUGACUAGCUUGGUCUUGUACAGGCAUUUAUAGUUUUUGAAACAGGAGCUCUCAGUGAACCCAAAGCUCAUUGCUUCUGUUAGGCUGGCUUGCCAGUGAGCUUCAGGAGCCCCCACUUCACCCCCGGUCUCUGUCUUCCCUCCUCCUUAUCUCUGGCCAUACAGGAUGCUGCCAUGGGAUCUGAACUCAAGGUCUCGCCCUUGCACAGCAGGUAUUUACUAACUGAACCAUAUUCCAACCCUGUUAAAUUAAAUGAAACAUUAAAUUAUUUUAUUUAUUGACACAAAAUUCUGCUAUGAGGACCAGGCUAAUCUUGAACUUGUAGCAAACCGUGUUGCCUUGGUCUCCUGUGAUCUGGCAUUACAGGUUUGUAGCAUCAUGCCUAGAGUUUGCGAUGAUUUGGAAAAGGUAACAAGCAAAAAUAGAGAGCUGUGAGGACACAGGGAAUCUAGAUUCCCCUCCCCCCAUCAUAAAACUGGUGAAUGAAUUCACUGCUCUGCAGGGAAAGUUGAGUAAUCAGAGGGUGGGGUCACCACUCAGAAAGUUAGUGUCAGGAUAGUCCUGUGACUUUAAAAAAAUUCUCUUCAUAAAAACUCAGUAAAAACCGUGAUUUCUUUUGCAUUACCAUGCUGGUGACUUUGUAGGGCUAUCUCUUCAUUAACUUCUCUCACCUUCUGUGCUAGUGGCCGCUUGUGCUUUAAUUAUAAAGUGGAUGUAUUAAAAUGACUGCAAUUAUACUUUAAGCUGGGAAAUGAGAUUUUUAAAUUACUCACACCGAGAUUUCCAAAGAUAGCUCUUUCCUCUCCGUGACCCCUUCUCUCUAAGCCGCCCCCUAAAUUCAGAAUCCGAGGCAUUAAUAACAGCAAACGGAGCAAACAGGAGUUACACUUAAGCUUCAGCUUUUCAAGCCUCUUCUUGAUUCUCCCCUCAUCGUGUGUGUGUGUGUGUGUGUGUGUGUGUGUGUGUGUGUGUGUGUGUGUGUGAUAUGUGUGUGUAAGUGAGGGGACAACUAGAAAGAGUUGGCUUACCAUGUGGGUCCUAGGGAUCAGACUCAGGCUCUUAGGUUUACUCAGAGUCAUCUCAGUGACACUUUUAUUUUUAACUAUUAUUUAUUUAGAUUUAUUCACUUUAUGUGUUUGAGUGUUUGAGUGAUGUGCCUGAAUGUAUGUAUAUGCACCGUGUGCACAGUUGGUACCCAAGGAGGCCAGAAGAUGGUGUUGCAUCCCUUGGAACUGGAGUUAUAGAUAGUUGUGAGCUGCCAUGCAGGUGCUGGAAGCUGAACCUGGAUCCUCUGCAAGAGCAGCCAGUGCUCUUAACUGCUGAGCCAUCUCUCCAGCCUUGUAUUUAUAAUGUUCUUUGAGAUAAGGCCUAAUAUAUCCCAGGAUGGCUCACACCUCUCUUUGCAGAGGAGGACAACCUUGACCUCUGAUCCUCCUGGCUUGACCUCUGAGUGCUGGGAUGACAAAUGUGUGCCACCAAGUCAUUGUUCUGAGCUGCAGAUGUAACCCGGGGCUUUGCACACGCUGGGUGGGCACUCCCGGCUGAGCUCUAUCCAUAGUCCUGUUACAGCUCACAUUUCUACUGCUGUAUUUCACAGAAGCGGCUACAAAACUUAAGCUCAACUAAAUUAGAGUAGUUGUCUCUAAGAGCCUUCUCCACCCCAAACUUGCAGGAAGUUGCAGGAGAAACAAACAAACAAACAAGCAAACAAAACAAACCGAUAUAACGUCAAAGUCAAACCAAGAAAAUGAACAAAUGAACCAACUAGUAUGACCACGGUAAUGGUCCAUAGAUAUCUUUGGUCCCAUUGAAGUUUUACACAUAAAAUGUGUGGGCUUCCUUCGCUAAAGUCUACACAUGACUUUUGGCUAUAGCUCAGUUGUGGACAGCACAUUUAAGAUGUUCAAGCACUCAAGGCCCUCAGCCUGAUGGUCAACACAACAGAAAAGCAGAAAACGGCCAUACAAAAAUAAAGUGAAAAAAAAUGUGAAAAGUAAAAUGUAA